GGAAGGGUGGCCGAGUUGGUUAUGGCGCCAGGUUAAGGUCAGCUUAACAUCUGUUUCCUGGUGGGGCAACCCGCGCGAGUUCGAGUCUAGUCCCUUUCA
rnacentral:tRNA from 1 species